rnacentral:rRNA from 1 species
AUUGAACGCUGGCGGCAGGCCUAACACAUGCAAGUCGAGCGGAUGAAGGGAGCUUGCUCCUGGAUUCAGCGGCGGACGGGUGAGUAAUGCCUAGGAAUCUGCCUGGUAGUGGGGGAUAACGUCCGGAAACGGGCGCUAAUACCGCAUACGUCCUGAGGGAGAAAGUGGGGGAUCUUCGGACCUCACGCUAUCAGAUGAGCCUAGGUCGGAUUAGCUAGUUGGUGGGGUAAAGGCCUACCAAGGCGACGAUCCGUAACUGGUCUGAGAGGAUGAUCAGUCACACUGGAACUGAGACACGGUCCAGACUCCUACGGGAGGCAGCAGUGGGGAAUAUUGGACAAUGGGCGAAAGCCUGAUCCAGCCAUGCCGCGUGUGUGAAGAAGGUCUUCGGAUUGUAAAGCUCUUUAAGUUGGGAGGAAGGGCAGUAAGUGAAUACCUUGCUGUUUUGACGUUACCAACAGAAUAAGCACCGGCUAACUUCGUG